rnacentral:rRNA from 1 species
UGAGGAAUAUUGGUCAAUGGGCGGGAGCCUGAACCAGCCAAGUCGCGUGAGGGAAGACGGUCCUAUGGAUUGUAAACCUCUUUUGUCGGGGAGCAAAGACACCUACGCGUAGGUGGAUGAGAGUACCCGAAGAAAAAGCAUCGGCUAACUCCGUGCCAGCAGCCGCGGUAAUACGGAGGAUGCGAGCGUUAUCCGGAUUUAUUGGGUUUAAAGGGUGCGUAGGCGGGAUGUUAAGUCAGCGGUAAAAUUGAGGGGCUCAACCCCUUCGAGCCGUUGAACUGGCAUUCUUGAGUGAAUGAGAAGUAUGCGGAAUGCGUGGUGUAGCGGUGAAAUGCAUAGAUAUCACGCAGAACCCCGAUUGCGAAGGCAGCAUACCGGCGCCCAACUGACGCUGAAGCACGAAAGCGUGGGGAUCAAACAGGAUUAGAUACC